rnacentral:rRNA from 1 species
GACGAACGCUGGCGGCGUGCUUAACACAUGCAAGUCGAACGGAAAGGCCCUGCUUUUGUGGGGUGCUCGAGUGGCGAACGGGUGAGUAACACGUGAGUAACCUGCUCUUGACUUUGGGAUAACUUCAGGAAACUGGGGCUAAUACCGGAUAGGAGCUCCUGCUGCAUGGUGGGGGUUGGAAAGUUUCGGCGGUUGGGGAUGGACUCGCGGCUUAUCAGCUUGUUGGUGGGGUAGUGGCUUACCAAGGCUUUGACGGGUAGCCGGCCUGAGAGGGUGACCGGCCACAUUGGGACUGAGAUACGGCCCAGACUCCUACGGGAGGCAGAAGUGGGGAAUAUUGCACAAUGGGCGGAAGCCUGAUGCAGCAACGCCGCGUGCGGGAUGACGGCCUUCGGGUGGUAAACCGCUUUCGCCUGUGACGAAGCGUGAGUGACGGUAAUGGGUAAAGAAGCACCGGCUAACUACGUG